GGGGAAGUGGCGGGGUGCUUACACAUGCAGUCGAACGAUGAAGCCCACUUGUGGGUGGAUUAGUGGCGAACGGGUGAGUAACACGUGAGUAACCUGCCCUUGACUCUGGGAUAAGCCUGGGAAACUGGGUCUAAUACCGGAUAUGACCUUCCAUCGCAUGGGGGUUGGGGGAAAGCUUUUGUGGUUUUGGAUGGACUCGCGGCCUAUCAGCUUGUUGGUGGGGUAAUGGCCUACCAAGGCGACGACGGGUAGCCGGCCUGAGAGGGUGACCGGCCACACUGGGACUGAGACACGGCCCACACUCCUACGGGAGGCAGCAGUGGGGAAUAUUGCACAAUGGGCGCAAGCCUGAUGCAGCGACCCCGCGUGAGGGAUGACGGCCUUCGGGUUGUAAACCUCUUUCAGUAGGGAAAAAACGUAAGUGACGGUACCUGCAAAAAAAACGCCGGCUAACUACGUGCCAGCAGCCGCGGUAAUACGUAGGGCGCAAGCGUUAUCCGGAAUUAUUGGGCGUAAAGAGCUCGUAGGCGGUUUGUCGCGUCUGCCGCGAAAGUCCGGGGCUCAACUCCGGAUCUGCGGGGGGUACGGGCAGACUAGAGUGAUGUAGGGGAGACUGGAAUUCCUGGGGUAGCGGUGAAAUGCGCAGAUAUCAGGAGGAACACCGAUGGGGAAGGGGGGUCUCUGGGCAUUAUCUGACGCUGAGGAGCGAAAACAUGGGGAGCGAACAGGAUUAGAUACCCUGGGUAUACCAUGCCGCAAAACGUUGUGGCACUACGAUGUGGGGGGACAUUCCACGUUUUUCCCCGCGGAAGCUAAAACAUUAAAUGCCCCCCCCUGGGGAGAACGACCCCAAAGGCUA
rnacentral:rRNA from 1 species